rnacentral:tRNA from 1 species
AAGAACGUUUAUUAGAGACUUCUAAUCUCAAAAAAGUAUAACUACUAUGUUCUUU